UACGGAGGUGGCAAGCGUUGUUCGGAAUUACUGGGCGUAAAGGGCGCGUAGGCGGCUUGGCAAGUCAGAUGUGAAAGCCCCGGGCUUAACUCGGGAAUUGCAUCUGAAACUGCUUUGCUUGAGUCCUGGAUGGGAUAGUGGAAUUCCCAGUGUAGCGGUGAAAUUCGUAGAUAUUCGGAAGAACACCAGUGGCGAAGGCGACUCGCUGGACAAGUAUUGACGCUGAGGUGCGAAAGCGUGGGGAGCAAACAGG
rnacentral:rRNA from 1 species